rnacentral:rRNA from 1 species
GAUGAACGCUGGCGGCGUGCUUAACACAUGCAAGUCGAACGAGGUCCAACCUUCAGGUGAAGACCUAGUGGCGAACGGGUGAGUAACACGUGGGGAACCUGCCCUUCUCUCUGGGAUAACGUCGAGAAAUCGGUGCUAAUACCGGAUACUCCUUGCGGAUCGCAUGGUCUGCUCGGGAAAGCUUUUGCGGAGAUGGAUGGCCCCGCGGCCCAUUAGCUAGUUGGUGAGGUAACGGCCCACCAAGGCGACGAUGGGUAGCCGAGCUGAGAGGCUGGUCGGCCACACUGGGACUGAGAGACGGCCCAGACUCCUACGGGAGGCAGCAGUGGGGAAUUUUGCGCAAUGGGCGAAAGCCUGACGCAGCAACGCCGCGUGAGUGAUGAAGGCCUUCGGGUCGUAAAGCUCUGUCAGAGGGGAAGAACCUCCUGGGGGAUAAUAACCCUCAGGCCUGACGGUACCCUCAAAGGAAGCACCGGCUAACUCCGUGCCAGCCGCCGCCGUAAUAC